GCGGAGAUGCCGGAGUGGUCAAACGGGACACGCUAAGGACGUGUUGGCUUAGUGCCUGCAGGGGUUCGAAUCCUCUUCUCCGCA
rnacentral:tRNA from 1 species